rnacentral:rRNA from 1 species
CCUACGGGAGGCAGCAGUAGGGAAUCUUUCACAAUGGGCGAAAGCCUGAUGGAGCAACGCCGCGUGCAGGAUGACGGCCUUCGGGUUGUUAACUGCUUUUAUAAGCGAGAAAUAUGAUGGCAACUUAUGAACAAGGAUAGGCUAACUACGUGCCAGCAGCCGCGGGAAUACGUAGGAUCCGCGCAUUAUCCGGAGUGACUGGGGGUAAAGAGGUGCGUAGGUGGCAUAAUAGGUAGCUAGUGAAAUCUGGUGGCUCAAACAUUCAGACUAUUAGCUAAACUGUUAAGCUCGAGACCGUUAGGGGUAACUGGAAUUGCUAGUGUAGGAGUGAAAUGCGUAGAUAUUAGGAGGAACACCGAUAGCGUAGGCAGGUUACUGGGGCGGAACUGACGCUAAGGCACGAAAGCGUAGGUAGCAAACAGGAUUAGAUACCCCUGUAGUC